CUAACCAAGAAAUUCAAGAUCAAUCUUUAUAUAGUAAUGACCCAGAAGUAUUCUGGCAAUGAUGAUGGCAUCCAUCCAUUAAAUAGGUAUAGACUUCUUUUUAUACACAUUUCCUAGAAUGUGUUUAUCCAGCUUUGGAAACCUAAAAAAACAGAGGAAAAAAAGAUAGAUAUGUUGUCGAUUAAGUGAAGCAUAGAAGAAAUUGGAAUAGAACUAUUUAGUCCUUGUUUAUAUGUGGGAAAUCAUUAUUUCUGCAAUUUAUCGAAAGUGGGUUUCCCUACUUAAAUAUGUGCUCGUUGCCAAUGUCUCUGUUGGUUAGUUCCCUGAAUAGCUCACAACUUUACUGUACAGGUUAGUUUUAGUGAAAAUUACAUUGAAUGUCAAUGCUUGUAUUACAGAUUAUGCAUUAAUGAUAUAUUGAUAGUGUACCUUUGGG
rnacentral:misc_RNA from 1 species